AUCUCGGAAGCCAAGGGACCACGGAGCAGCUUCCAGCAAGGGUCCGUCUGUCUGUCUGUCCUGCAGGACCCACCCGGCCCUCCCUGCUCAGCACCGCCUGACUUGAAAGGAGAAGUGGCGCGGGGCUGAGGCCUCGGAGACACUUACUAAGGAAUCCGUGAGGUGGUCGUUUGGAGAGCUAGGGAAGGCUGCGAGAGGCAAGGCAGCAGGGACGCGCAGAGGACCAAGGAGACCGGUCGGAGAGCAGCUACCGAGGCAGGGCGCUGCGCCGACCGAGCAGGGGCGACCCCGGGGGUGGGCUACUGUCCCUCCCCACGCCCCGCGCCCGCCCGCCCGCCCGCCCGGCGCCCCUUCCCCCGCGCUCCCCGGCCAGGGGCGCUAGGCCCGAACCGGCCGCCCUGCGAGGGGAACUGCCCCGGUAAAAACUGGAAAUAAAAAGAAAACUUUAUUAGCCUGCACCAGAAGCAACAAAAGACCCAGAAUUUGCACAGCGGAGGGCCUUCUGUCAGAGACAAUAGGGAGAACAGCGACCCGGAUACAGCUCCGACAAGGAGGAAGUGAAAGCCGCCGCGGAAACGCCGCCCUGGGCAGCCGAAGCUGAGGGCGCAUGCGCGCACUCGCUCCCUCGCCGGAACUCAGUAACUUUAAGAAUAUUCACAGAUUCUCUAGUUCCAUCCAUCUGCCUAAGAACUAGUCAUUGCUGGUGGGAGUGAAAACUGGUACAGCUACUAUGGAAAUCAGAGUACAGGUUCCUCACGAAGCUGAGUCUCCAUCUACCUCAAGAUUCGACUAUAACACUUGUACUUCCUAGUUUUGUGUAUCAACUUAACACAAGCUGGAGUAAUCAAAGGAGCCUCCCUUGAGGAAAUGCCUCCAAGAGAUCCAGCUGUAAGGUAUUUUCUCAAAUAGUGAUCAAGCACUGAGGGCCUAGCCCAUCAUGGGUAGUGCCAUCCCUGGGCUAGUAUUCUUUGAUUCUAUAAGAAAGCCAGGGGAAGAAAGACAGUAAACAGAACUCCUCCAUGGCUUCUGCAUCCACUUCAGCCUCCAAGUUCCUGACCUGCUUGAGUUCCUGUCAUGACUUCCUUUGGUGAUGAACAGCAAUGUGCAAGUGUAAGCUGAAUAAACCCUUUCCUCCCCAACUUGCUUCUUGGCCAUGAUGUUUUGUGUACGAAUAGAAACACUGACUAAGACACCACUCAGACGUUGAUAUUUGCUCAUUCAUGUCCAUUGCUGCUCUCUAUAUAAUCACCAAAAUUUAGAAACAUUAUAGAUGUCCAUAAGCUAAUGGUUGAAUAGUGAAAAUGUUUUAUAGUUACACAAUGGAAUAUUAUUCAGCUGUUAAGAAAAAUGAAAUUUGCAAGAAAAUGGACAAACAUAGCAAAAAUUAUCCUGCGUGAGGUAACUAGGACUCAAAAAGACAAAUAUUCCAUUUUUCAAAGUUAGGAACAUAAGUU
rnacentral:lncRNA from 1 species